GGUUAAGUUAGAAAGGGCGCACGGUGGAUGCCUUGACACUAGGAGUCGAUGAAGGACGGGACUAACGCCGAUAUGCUUCGGGGAGCUGUAAGUAAGCUUUGAUCCGAAGAUUUCCGAAUGGGGAAACCCACCAUACGUAAUGGUAUGGUAUCCUUAUCUGAAUACAUAGGGUAAGGAAGACAGACCCAGGGAACUGAAACAUCUAAGUACCUGGAGGAAGAGAAAGCAAAUGCGAUUUCCUGAGUAGCGGCGAGCGAAACGGAACAUAGCCCAAACCAAGAGGCUUGCCUCUUGGGGUUGUAGGACAUUCUAUACGGAGUUACAAAGGAACGAGGUAGACGAAGCGACCUGGAAAGGUCCGUCGUAGAGGGUAACAACCCCGUAGUCGAAACUUCGUUCUCUCUUGAAUGUAUCCUGAGUACGGCGGAACACGUGAAAUUCCGUCGGAAUCUGGGAGGACCAUCUCCCAAGGCUAAAUACUCCCUAGUGAUCGAUAGUGAACCAGUACCGUGAGGGAAAGGUGAAAAGCACCCCGGAAGGGGAGUGAAAGAGAUCCUGAAACCGUGUGCCUACAAAUAGUCAGAGCCCGUUAAAGGGUGAUGGCGUGCCUUUUGUAGAAUGAACCGGCGAGUUACGAUCCCGUGCGAGGUUAAGCUGAAGAGGCGGAGCCGCAGCGAAAGCGAGUCUGAAUAGGGCGUUUAGUACGUGGUCGUAGACCCGAAACCAGGUGAUCUACCCAUGUCCAGGGUGAAGUUCAGGUAACACUGAAUGGAGGCCCGAACCCACGCACGUUGAAAAGUGCGGGGAUGAGGUGUGGGUAGCGGAGAAAUUCCAAUCGAACCUGGAGAUAGCUGGUUCUCCCCGAAAUAGCUUUAGGGCUAGCCUUAAGUGUAAGAGUCUUGGAGGUAGAGCACUGAUUGGACUAGGGGUCCUCAUCGGAUUACCGAAUUCAGUCAAACUCCGAAUGCCAAUGACUUAUCCUUAGGAGUCAGACUGCGAGUGAUAAGAUCCGUAGUCAAAAGGGAAACAGCCCAGACCGCCAGCUAAGGUCCCAAAGUGUGUAUUAAGUGGAAAAGGAUGUGGAGUUGCUUAGACAACUAGGAUGUUGGCUUAGAAGCAGCCACCAUUUAAAGAGUGCGUAAUAGCUCACUAGUCGAGUGACUCUGCGCCGAAAAUGUACCGGGGCUAAAUACACCACCGAAGCUGCGGAUUGAUACCAAUGGUAUCAGUGGUAGGGGAGCGUUCUAGGGACAGUGAAGUCAGACCGGAAGGACUGGUGGAGUGCUUAGAAGUGAGAAUGCCGGUAUGAGUAGCGAAAGACGGGUGAGAAUCCCGUCCACCGAAUGCCUAAGGUUUCCUGAGGAAGGCUCGUCCGCUCAGGGUUAGUCAGGACCUAAGCCGAGGCCGACAGGCGUAGGCGAUGGACAACAGGUUGAUAUUCCUGUACCACCUCUUUAUCGUUUGAGCAAUGGAGGGACGCAGAAGGAUAGAAGAAGCGUGCGAUUGGUUGUGCACGUCCAAGCAGUUAGGCUGAUAAGUAGGCAAAUCCGCUUAUCGUGAAGGCUGAGCUGUGAUGGGGAAGCUCCUUAUGGAGCGAAGUCUUUGAUUCCCCGCUGCCAAGAAAAGCUUCUAGCGAGAUAAAAGGUGCCUGUACCGCAAACCGACACAGGUAGGCGAGGAGAGAAUCCUAAGGUGUGCGAGAGAACUCUGGUUAAGGAACUCGGCAAAAUGACCCCGUAACUUCGGGAGAAGGGGUGCUUUCUUAACGGAAAGCCGCAGUGAAUAGGCCCAAGCGACUGUUUAGCAAAAACACAGCUCUCUGCGAAGCCGUAAGGCGAAGUAUAGGGGGUGACACCUGCCCGGUGCUGGAAGGUUAAGGAGAGGGGUUAGCGUAAGCGAAGCUCUGAACUGAAGCCCCAGUAAACGGCGGCCGUAACUAUAACGGUCCUAAGGUAGCGAAAUUCCUUGUCGGGUAAGUUCCGACCCGCACGAAAGGUGUAACGAUUUGGGCACUGUCUCAACCAGAGACUCGGUGAAAUUAUAGUACCUGUGAAGAUGCAGGUUACCCGCGACAGGACGGAAAGACCCCGUGGAGCUUUACUGUAGCCUGAUAUUGAAUUUUGGUACAGUUUGUACAGGAUAGGCGGGAGCCAUUGAAACCGGAGCGCUAGCUUCGGUGGAGGCGCUGGUGGGAUACCGCCCUGACUGUAUUGAAAUUCUAACCUACGGGUCUUAUCGACCCGGGAGACAGUGUCAGGUGGGCAGUUUGACUGGGGCGGUCGCCUCCUAAAGUGUAACGGAGGCGCCCAAAGGUUCCCUCAGAAUGGUUGGAAAUCAUUCGUAGAGUGCAAAGGCAUAAGGGAGCUUGACUGCGAGACCUACAAGUCGAGCAGGGACGAAAGUCGGGCUUAGUGAUCCGGUGGUUCCGCAUGGAAGGGCCAUCGCUCAACGGAUAAAAGCUACCCCGGGGAUAACAGGCUUAUCUCCCCCAAGAGUCCACAUCGACGGGGAGGUUUGGCACCUCGAUGUCGGCUCAUCGCAUCCUGGGGCUGUAGUCGGUCCCAAGGGUUGGGCUGUUCGCCCAUUAAAGCGGUACGCGAGCUGGGUUCAGAACGUCGUGAGACAGUUCGGUCCCUAUCCGUCGUGGGCGUAGGAAAUUUGAGAGGAGCUGUCCUUAGUACGAGAGGACCGGGAUGGACGCACCGCUGGUGUACCAGUUGUUCUGCCAAGGGCAUAGCUGGGUAGCUAUGUGCGGAAGGGAUAAGUGCUGAAAGCAUCUAAGCAUGAAGCCCCCCUCAAGAUGAGAUUUCCCAUAGCGUAAGCUAGUAAGAUCCCUGAAAGAUGAUCAGGUUGAUAGGUUCGAGGUGGAAGCAUGGUGACAUGUGGAGCUGACGAAUACUAAUAGAUCGAGGACUUAACCAU
rnacentral:rRNA from 1 species